GAUGAACGCUGGCGGCGUGCCUAAUACAUGCAAGUCGAGCGAACGGACGAGAAGCUUGCGUCUCUGAUGUUAGCGGCGGACGGGUGAGUAACACGUGGAUAACCUACCUAUAAGACUGGGAUAACUUCGGGAAACCGGAGCUAAUACCGGAUGAUAUGUUGAACCGCAUGGUUCAAAAGUGAAAGACGGUCUUGCUGUCACUUAUAGAUGGAUCCGCGCUGCAUUAGCUAGUUGGUAAGGUAACGGCUUACCAAGGCAACGAUGCAUAGCCGACCUGAGAGGGUGAUCGGCCACACUGGAACUGAGGCACGGUCCAGACUCCUACGGGAGGCAGCAGUAGGGAAUCUUCCGCAAUGGGCGAAAGCCUGACGGAGCCACGCCGCGUGAGUGAUGAAGGUCUUCGGAUCGUAAAACUCUGUUAUUAGGGAAGAACAUAUGUGUAAGUAACUGUGCCCAUCUUGACGGUACCUAAUCAGAAAGCCACGGCUAACUACGUG
rnacentral:rRNA from 1 species